ACGCUGGCGGCGUGCUUAACACAUGCAAGUCGAGCGGUAAGGCCCUUCGGGGUACACGAGCGGCGAACGGGUGAGUAACACGUGAGCAACCUGCCCCUGACUCCGGGAUAAGCGGUGGAAACGCCGUCUAAUACCGGAUACGACCUGUCACCUCAUGGUGGCGGGUGGAAAGUUUUUCGGUUGGGGAUGGGCUCGCGGCCUAUCAGCUAGUUGGUGGGGUAAAGGCCUACCAAGGCGAUUACGGGUAGCCGGCCUGAGAGGGCGACCGGCCACACUGGGACUGAGACACGGCCCAGACUCCUGCGGGAGGCAGCAGUGGGGAAUAUUGCGCAAUGGGCGAAAGCCUGACGCAGCGACGCCGCGUGGGGGAUGACGGCCUUCGGGUUGUAAACCUCUUUUACCACCAACGCAGGCUCCCAGUUCUCUGGGGGUUGACGGUAGGUGGGGAAUAAGGACCGGCUAACUACGUGCCAGCAGCCGCGGUAAUACGUAGGGUCCGAGCGUUGUCCGGAAUUAUUGGGCGUAAAGAGCUCGUAGGCGGCGUGUCGCGUCUGCUGUGAAAGACCGGGGCUUAACUCCGGUUCUGCAGUGGAUACGGGCAUGCUAGAGGUAGGUAGGGG
rnacentral:rRNA from 1 species